rnacentral:rRNA from 1 species
GUGAACGCUGGCGGCGUGCCUAACACAUGCAAGUCGAACGGAUCUUAAGAGCUUGCUCUUAAGGUUAGUGGCGUACGGGUGAGUAACACGUAGCUAACCUGCCCCAUAGUAAGGGACAACAGUUGGAAACGACUGCUAAUACCUUAUACUCCUUCUUUACCUAAGUAAAGUCGGGAAAGUUUUUCGCUAUGGGAUGGGGCUGCGGCCUAUCAGCUUGUUGGGGAGGUAAUGGCUCACCAAGGCUAUGACGGGUAGCUGGUCUGAGAGGAUGAUCAGCCACACUGGAACUGAGACACGGUCCAGACUCCUACGGGAGGCAGUAGUGGGGAAUAUUGCACAAUGGGGGAAACCCUGAUGCAGCAACGCCGCGUGGAGGAUGACGCAUUUCGGUGUGUAAACUCCUUUUAUAUGUCAAGAAAAUGACGGUAGCAUAUGAAUAAGCACCGGCUAACUCCGU